rnacentral:rRNA from 1 species
UAUAAUCACGUUCUAACCUUUUGACCGUCAACUUAGAUGGCCGUAAGCAAGCUUUCGGCACCUAAGUAACUUUCAGAGGUCAGGCGGAUAGCCUAAAAGGUAUUCGUUGCAAUCCUCGGUCCUAAUCACCACAUUUACCAAAGGCUAUAACACUUCAACCGAGGCCGAAGCUACAUUCCUCCGAUCAUUUUAUGGCGAUCAAAACCGACAUUGACCUACCAUACGAAAAAGUACACCAAAGAAACAUACAUAUUGCAAACAACAAGGCCGUGAAGCUCUCAUACGCCCA